CAUAAAUGGCUUGUUUUUGGUAAUCGACGAAGAUUACCAUAUUGAUAUUCGGGCGCAUGAUAAACAUCGGUACUCCAGUGCAUUUCCCCAUCUGAUUCGGAAUAAAUAUGUUUUUGUACCUUUUCUUUAAAAUGCAAAGCGGACGUUCCGGCACGAAUCUCCGCAAUUACUUGUUCGGAUUCUACAUAUUGAUCAUUUUGCACUAGAAUCAAGCUUUUUGAAG
rnacentral:misc_RNA from 1 species